rfam:Haemophilus pittmaniae HK 85 ctg1129913985447, whole genome shotgun sequence.
AGUUAAGUGACUAAGCGUACAAGGUGGAUGCCUUGGCAAUCAGAGGCGAUGAAGGACGUGCUAAUCUGCGAAAAGCUUGGAUGAGUCGAUAAGAGGCGUUUAAUCCAAGAUGUCCGAAUGGGGAAACCCAGUAGAUGAAGAAUCUACUAUCAACAAGUGAAUACAUAGCUUGUUGAGGCAAACCGGGAGAACUGAAACAUCUAAGUACCCCGAGGAAAAGAAAUCAACCGAGAUUUCGUUAGUAGCGGCGAGCGAACGCGAAGGAGCCUGUUAGUGAUAGCGACAGAGACAGAGGAACAAGCUGGGAAGCUUGGCGAUACCGGGUGAUAGCCCCGUACUCGAAGUCCAGGUCGUGGUACUAAGCUAACGAUAAGUAGGGCGGGACACGUGAUAUCCUGUUUGAAGAUGGGGGGACCAUCCUCCAAGGCUAAAUACUCCUGAUUGACCGAUAGUGAACCAGUACUGUGAAGGAAAGGCGAAAAGAACCCCGGUGAGGGGAGUGAAAUAGAACCUGAAACCUUGUACGUACAAGCAGUGGGAGCCCUUUAAGGGUGACUGCGUACCUUUUGUAUAAUGGGUCAGCGACUUAUAUUUUGUAGCGAGGUUGACCGAAUAGGGGAGCCGAAGGGAAACCGAGUCUUAACUGGGCGAAUAGUUGCAAGGUAUAGACCCGAAACCCGGUGAUCUAGCCAUGGGCAGGUUGAAGGUUGGGUAACACUAACUGGAGGACCGAACCGACUAAUGUUGAAAAAUUAGCGGAUGACUUGUGGCUGGGGGUGAAAGGCCAAUCAAACCGGGAGAUAGCUGGUUCUCCCCGAAAUCUAUUUAGGUAGAGCCUUGAGCGGACACCUUCGGGGGUAGAGCACUGUUUCGGCUAGGGGUCCAUCCCGGAUUACCAACCCGAUGCAAACUACGAAUACCGAAGAGUGAUACUCAGGAGACACACGGCGGGUGCUAACGUCCGUCGUGGAGAGGGAAACAACCCAGACCGCCAGCUAAGGUCCCAAAGUCUAUAUUAAGUGGGAAACGAAGUGGGAAGGCUUAGACAGCUAGGAUGUUGGCUUAGAAGCAGCCAUCAUUUAAGAAAGCGUAAUAGCUCACUAGUCGAGUCGGCCUGCGCGGAAGAUGUAACGGGGCUCAAAUAUAGCACCGAAGCUGCGGCAUCAGUGGCAACACGUGUUGGGUAGGGGAGCGUUCUGUAAGCGGAUGAAGGUAGCUCGAGAGGGCUGCUGGACGUAUCAGAAGUGCGAAUGCUAGACAUAAGUAACGAUAAAACGGGUGAAAAACCCGUUCGCCGGAAGACCAAGGGUUCCUGUCCAACGUUAAUCGGGGCAGGGUGAGUCGGCCCCUAAGGCGAGGCUGAAAAGCGUAGUCGAUGGGAAACGGGUUAAUAUUCCCGUACUUGGAUAAACUGCGAUGUGGGGACGGAGCAGGUUAGGUUAGCGCACUGUUGGAUAUGUGCGUUUAAGUUGGUAGGUGAGAAGUUUAGGCAAAUCCGGACUUCUUUAACACUGAGAGAUGAUGACGAGGCUCUACGGAGCUGAAGUAACCGAUACCACACUUCCAGGAAAAGC